UACGAAGGGGUUAGCGUUGUUCGGAAUUACUGGGCGUAAAGCGCGCGCAGGCGGUCUUCCAAGUCAGUGGUGAAAGCCCGGAGCUCAACUCCGGAACUGCCAUUGAAACUGUUAGACUUGAGGACGAGAGAGGUGAGUGGAAUUCCCAGUGUAGAGGUGAAAUUCGUAGAUAUUGGGAAGAACACCGGUGGCGAAGGCGGCUCACUGGCUCGUAUCUGACGCUCAGGCGCGACAGCGUGGGGAUCGAAACAGG
rnacentral:rRNA from 1 species